AUACGGAGGAUGCAAGCGUUAUCCGGAUUUAUUGGGUUUAAAGGGUGCGUAGGCGGUUUGCUAAGCGGGAGGUGAAAUGCCGGCGCUCAACGUCGGAAGUGCCUCCCGAAAUGGUGGACUGGAAUGACUCUGCCGUGGGAGGAAUGUGUAGUGUAGCGGUGAAAUGCUUAGAGAUUACACAGAACACCGAUUGCGAAGGCAUCUCACGAAGAGUUGAUUGACGCUGAGGCACGAAAGCGUUGGGAUCAAACAGGAUUAGAUACCCUGGUAGUCCACGCAGUAAACGAUGAUGGCUAGCCGCUGGUUUAUUCGGAUCAGUGGCCAAGCGAAAGCGAUAAGCCAUCCACCUGGGGAGUACGACCGCAAGGUGGAAACUCAAAUGAAUUUACGGGG
rnacentral:rRNA from 1 species